UACGUAGGGGGCAAGCGUUAUCCGGAUUUACUGGGUGUAAAGGGAGCGUAGACGGCUUUGCAAGCCAGAUGUGAAAGCCCGGGGCUCAACCCCGGGACUGCAUUUGGAACUGUAUGGCUGGAGUGUCGGAGAGGCAGGCGGAAUUCCUAGUGUAGCGGUGAAAUGCGUAGAUAUUGGGAGGAACACCAGUGGCGAAGGCGGCCUGCUGGACGAUGACUGACGUUGAGGCUCGAAAGCGUGGGGAGCAAACAGG
rnacentral:rRNA from 1 species